rnacentral:misc_RNA from 1 species
CCUAAUUCUUCUAAUGUGUCACUACCAAAUAAUUGUGAGCCUAUUCCCUGCCGUUCAAAUCAGAUAUCCAGCCCCAACUGUAAAUGUGCAUAUCCAUACACAGGACUUCUAGUUUUCAUAGCUCCUUCAUUCUCAGUCUUGGACAACAAAACAAAUUAUAUUUUACUCGUGCAGCAACUAAUGGAUUCUUUUAGUUCCAAGCAACUUCCUGUGGAUUCAGUUUCUAUAAGUAAUCAGAGAAAGGAUCCAUUUUCGUACUUAGAAUUAAAACUUGAAGUCUUUCCAUCUAACCAAGAUCAUUUCAAUCGAAGUGUUAUUUCUCAGAUUGCGUUUGUACUAAGCAACGCCAAUUUCAAUCCUACAAAACCAUUUGGACCUUACUUUUUUCAUGGAGAUUCUUAUCAGUAUUUUGCUGGAGAGGCUACAGGAUCAAACAACUCAUUAAACACUGGCAUUAUCAUUGGAGCCGUUGCUGGUGGUUCUGCCCUUGUACUAUUGUUGCUUCUUGCAGGGUUUUAUGCUUACCAUCAAAAGAAGA